UGGUACCAUGGAACGUCUGGCUCUUUCCCAAAGUCAAAAUGACCAUGAAAGGUAAAUGUUUUUAAUACAUCUGGGGUAUCCAGGCAGCCACAACUGCAUAACCAAGCACACUCAGGAAACCGGACCUCCAGAACUGCUUCAGAAAGUGCCAAGAACGCUGGCCUAAGUGUUUAGGGUUAGGGGGAGUAUUUGAGGAUUAAUGGCAAUGUAUCUUUCACUAUAAUUUUGCUUUAAAGACUGUGCUUUCUUCUGGUACUCCCUAUUUAACGAAUCAAUCAUACUUUAAAAUUUUGCUUCUGUGCCUUAAUGAACGCAAAACUUGAUCGCUUAGCCAAUUCAAAAGCACUAAUGUUGAAGGGAGAAAGGAAAUGUGUUGUCUUCACAAAAUAUGUACGGAAAGAACAAUUUAACACAAUUCCUCAUAAUUUGAAGUCCUUAAAAUAAUGUUUUUAAAAGCGCGUUGGCAUGCAGGCACUAUCUGACAUACCCAAUUUCUAAAUUACUAUUUAAAAUUCUAAGCUUUACUUGAACCAAAGUCUUUGUAUUUCACUGUAUUUUAUUACACAGAGUAAUUCUGGUUUGUCCUCAAUUUUAAGAAACAAAUAUUCCAAACCUUAAAACUGGUAAACUAGAGGGCCAUGAGUGGCACUGUCAAGUGAUAAAUUGGAAGGAUCCUCUGAAAGCGUUAGUUCUCUGAUGCAAUGUUAGAAAGUAAUUUGGAUCAAUUUUUACACAAGCUACUGUGUUAAUACCCAGUGCAAUACAAAUACCCCCUAAUUAGUUUUUUUUAAAAAAAGCAUGUUUGCUAUAAGACUCCUCACUCAUUAGUCCCAAUUCUCCUCCACAAACGUAAGACUCUAUACAGACACCUAUAUGGAAGCUUUAUUCAUUUAUUUCUGUGAAAAGCUCUGUGCCUAUGAAAUUAUUGGAAAACACAAUGAAAUACUAUGAGCUACACCUCUAACACAUCUCCUGAAUACUGCACUUCAACAACAAAAUACUACCCAAUCUGUCUUCCGCAGCUAACAUUUGACGUCGAAAAGCAUUUUAAAUUUCCGACAAUAAUUCAGCUACCUUUCCACACCAAGCAAAAUGAUCAGUCCAUCUGAUCUAAAAUUAUUAAAAAAAAAAAAAAAAAAAAAAGACGGCCAUUCGCGUAUUAUUUCCCCCGACAAACAAAGAGGAUGCAUCCCAGCUGCUACUGCAGCCAAAAACUUGGGGCUCUGAAAGCGGCGCCCACCGGGUGCAAAAGGAGAGCCGCAGGAAAAGGACCUGGGGACCAACUGCGCUCCGCACGCGCCCUCCUCUCGCCUCGGGAGCACGCACCUCCCAGCCCCGCUCGGAGCAGCUCUCACUAUUUAAAGCCGGAUCUGGUGUUUAAAUGGAGAGGCGGUGACGUAGGCCUGAAAAGCACCUUCCCAUCCUGGCAGAGUCUAUAUUAGAGAGCGGCAAUGGCUCUAUAUAAACAGGGCAGCCAAAGGGAGGAGGACCACAAGGCUGAGCGACCGAAAAGCAGGCUAAGCGGCCGCAGCCAUGAUGGAUCGACCCGAGUCGCCAACGGGAAGGUGUUUCCCGAAGAAAUUAGCAGUUGAAUCAGGAGGCUGAGUAAAGAAGAUUGUGCUCACCAGCGUGGACCAGUCCACUGAGAGGCUGAAAAGAACACAAUUGCAGAGUAAGAGUGAAUUUGCUUUCUGACAUGGAAUACCCAUCUUCUGUCCUCAGACAUCAGUGCUCCUGGUUCUUGGACUUACAUGAUUCCUUUGUGCUCUUGACCGCCACUCCAAUUUGCAGCUUGGGCCGGGUCUUAUACCAUAAGAUCCCCAGGUUUUCAGGUCUUUAGAAUUGGGAUUGGACUUGGACUGAGUUGCACCACUGGCCUCCUGGCUCUGCAGCUUACAGGGUAGUACUGAGCCACAUCCCAGCCCUCUUCAUUUUUUAUAUUGAGACAAGUUCUACAUUGUCCAUUGUAGUGGAUUAACCAAUGGUCAACUUACCCAGCUGAACUGAAUCAUCGUGGUGCUGGGUGUGGGGAGCCCACCUGAGGAUUGUUGCCAACAGCUUAAAAAGAGAACUGGAAAGGAAGAUGUUGUGCUGUUGAUUCACCUGGAGAAGACUGUCAUGCUGGAUUUCCUGAUAUGAACUUGGCUGUUCUUAUCAUUGGAGCUCAGGCCUGUGACGUUGCUGAGGAUGGCUGAAGUUCUCUUCAGAGGAGCUCUGGUCCUUACCUUGAGCAUUGCUUCCUGUCUCCAGC